rnacentral:rRNA from 1 species
UAGGGAAUAUUGGGGCAAUGGGGCGCAAGCCUGACCCAGCAACGCCGCGUGAGGGAAGAAGGUUUUCGGAUUGUAAACCUCUGUCCUAUGUGACGAAGGAAGUGACGGUAGCAUAGGAGGAAGCCCCGGCUAACUACGUGCCAGCAGCCGCGGUAAUACGUAGGGGGCGAGCGUUGUCCGGAAUUACUGGGCGUAAAGGGUGCGUGGGCGGUUUUGUAAGUUGGAUGUGAAAUACCCGGGCUUAACUUGGGGGCUGCAUCCAAUACUGCAGGACUUGAGUGCAGGAGAGGAAAGCGGAAUUCCUAGUGUAGCGGUGAAAUGCGUAGAUAUUAGGAGGAACACCAGUGGCGAAGGCGGCUUGCUGGACGACAACUGACGCUGAGGCGCGA